UGGGGAAUCUUAGACAAUGGGCGCAAGCCUGAUCUAGCCAUGCCGCGUGAGUGAUGAAGGCCUUAGGGUCGUAAAGCUCUUUCGCUGGGGAAGAUAAUGACUGUACCCAGUAAAGAAACCCCGGCUAACUCCGUGCCAGCAGCCGCGGUAAUACGGAGGGGGUUAGCGUUGUUCGGAAUUACUGGGCGUAAAGCGCGCGUAGGCGGAUUAGAAAGUUAGGGGUGAAAUCCCAGGGCUCAACCCUGGAACUGCCUCUAAAACUCCUAGUCUUGAGGUCGAGAGAGGUGAGUGGAAUUCCGAGUGUAGAGGUGAAAUUCGUAGAUAUUCGGAGGAACACCAGUGGCGAAGGCGGCUCACUGGCUCGAUACUGACGCUGAGGUGCGAAAGCGUGGGGAGCAAACAGGAUUAGAUACC
rnacentral:rRNA from 1 species